rnacentral:rRNA from 1 species
UGAACACGAGAUGCUACGGCGUCGAAACAGUCUAUGUCAUACUUCCAAGAAAAGCUUGCACUGUCAUAAACAGAUAAUGCCUGUACCAUAACCGACACAGGUGGGUAGGUAGAGUAUACUAAGGGGCGCGAGAUAACUCUCUCUAAGGAACUCGGCAAAAUGACUCCGUAACUUCGGGAGAAGGAGUGCCUUAUUUAUAAGGUUGCAAUAACAAGAUCCAAGCAACUGUUUACCAAAAACGCAGGUCUCCGCUAAGUCGUAAGACGAUGUAUGGGGGCUGACGCCUGCCCAGUGCCAGAAGGUUAAAGAAGUUGGUUAGCAUCCGCGAAGCUGAUAACUGAAGCCCUGGUGAACGGCGGCCGUAACCAUAACGGUCCUAAGGUAGCGAAAUUCCUUGUCGGGUAAGUUCCGACCCGCGCGAAAGGCGUAAUGAUUUGGAUACUGUCUCGGAGAGGGGCUCGGUAAUAGACUUGUCUGUGAAGAUGCGGACUACCUGCACCAGGACAGAAAGACCCUAUGAAGCCUUACUGUAACCUGAAAUUGAAAUUGGACUUUACUUGCGCAGUAUAGGUGGGAGGCGUUGAGAAUAUUCUUGCGGGAUUAUUGGAGCCAUCAGUGAGAUACCACUCUUGUAAUGUUAGAUUUCUAACUUUGUAUCAUUAUCUGGUCAAAGAACAGUUUCAGGCGGGCAGUUUGACUGGGGCGGUCGCCUCCUAAACGGUAACGGAGGCGCACAAAGGUUUCCUCUGAACGGGUAGAAAUCGUAUCUAGAGUGUAAAGGCAUAAGGAAGCUUGACUGUGAGACCUACAAGUCGAGCAGGGACGAAAGUCGGUCUUAGUGAUCUGACGGUGCUGAGUGGAAAGGCCGUCACUCAACGGAUAAAAGUUACUCUAAGGAUAACAGGCUGAUCUCCCCCAAGAGUUCACAUCGACGGGGAGGUUUGGCACCUCGAUGUCGGCUCAUCGCAUCCUGGGGCGGUAGUACGUCCCAAGGGUUGGGCUGUUCGCCCAUGAAAGCGGUACGCGAGCUGGGUUCAGAACGUCGUGAGACAGUUCGGUCCAUAUCCGGUGUAGGCGUUAGAAUAUUGAGAGGAGCCUUCUUUAGUACGAGAGGACCGAGAAGGACAUACCUCUGGUGUACCAGUUAUCGUGCCAACGGUAAACGCUGGGUAGCUAUGUGUGGCGUGGAUAACCGCUGAAAGCAUCUAAGUGGGAAGCCCACCUCAAGAUGAGUACUCCCAUGGGGUUAACCCAGUAAGGUCACGGGAAGACCACCCGUUUAUAGGUUCUAGAUGGAAGUCCAGCAAUGGAUGAAGUCGAGGGAUACUAAUAGACCGAGGGCUUGUC